UUUUUGCCACGUCCUCAUAAAAGGAGCCACUGAUAGUAUGUCCCAGGAAAUGAAGAAAUGGAAGUAAUUUCCUUAGAAUUAACUAGACUCUUAGGCUGCUUGUCUGUGACAAGGGAUGUGAAAGAAAAAUCCCUUAUUCAAGGUGAUCUGCAAAGAAGAGCCAUGGGUACCUACAUGGAGCUGCAUAAUGAAAUCUGAAGUUUUUUAAGUUAUAAUUUUUUUUUCUGGUUGGAGGUAUGUAGGCAGGGACACAACAGGAAACAGUGUAGAUCCUACAGACAGUAGUAUACACAUUAUAUGAUGGAUAAGGUUAGCUCUGCCCUCUGCUAUAGGUUCUGACCUUGGUAAUCAUCUGAAAAGGGAGUUCUUCAAUUUCUUCCUUUAAUGUCCCACUGCCCAGUUUGAGAGCCAUGGAGGGUUACUGAGGUAUGUAUUUAAUUAAAUGAUGUUAAUAAACAAAAGUGUAAUUUAAAUCCUGGAAGGAGAACAUGGGUGAAAUAUUGGGGGCAAGAAUGUAGAAAUGGAAAAAUGACAUCAGAGUUACUGAAGAGCACUGCGCUGCACAGCCAGGCACCAAGGCCACAGGUAAACUGAGUUCAGGAGAAUCAGGAGGAAGAGAAGGCAGUGAGGGAGGGCCGUGAGGUGCAGAGACAGCUGGAAUGGACAGGAACAGCGGAUCCACAGCCAGGGUGGAAGCCAAAUUCCAGAAGGUAAAGUCACACAAUGAAAGGCAACAAACCCUCACGGGCUUUUAGCCACUGGAUUUGACGGGACAGACAUAGUAAUAAUCUCCAAGAAAGCAAUUUUAGCAGCAUAGGGGAGGGGUGGGGUUGUAUCACAAAGGUGAGCAAGAGAAUUAGAAAUGAAGUUAUGGGUUCAGAUGAUAACUUUGAAGAGUUCGACAGUAAAAUGAGUGAAAAAAGAAAAAGUAGCGCCCCCCCCCCCCAGGCCGAGGGCUGGGCGGGGUGGGAGGAGCCGCGCUCCGCAGCAGGAGGGAGAUCCGCCAUGAUGGAGUUGCGGGAAAGUUGGUCGAGUUCCCGGAGUUUCCCCCUGUGGUUACCCGGGCUCAGCUCCUUUCCUCCCUCCGGCCUCCAGGGUCCACCCCCUCCCUCUUUCUGCUCAGGACCGCCAUGGAGGCACCGCCGGCGCCCAGGAGUAAAAAAGCUGAGUGAAGACAGUUUGACUAAGCAGCCUGAAGAAGUUUUUGAUGUCUUAGAGAAGCUUGGAAAAGGGUCUUAUGGAAAUGUUUUUAAAGCAAUACAUAAAGAAUCUCGCCAAGUUGUUGCGACUAAACAAGUACCUGUUGAAUCUGAUCUUCAGGAAAUCAUCAAAGAAAUUUCCAUAAUGCAACAGUGUGACAGCCCAUAUGUUGUGAAGUACUAUGGCAGUUACUUUAAGAACACAGACCUCUGGAUUGUUAUGGAGUUCUGGGGAGCUGGCUCUGUCUCUGACAUAAUUAGAUUACAAAACAAGACAUUAGCAGAAGAUGAAAUUGCAACCAUUCUAAAAUCUACAUUGAAAGGAUUAGAAUAUUUGCACUAUGAGAAAAAUACAGAGAUAUAAAAGCUGGAAACAUUCUCAAUACAGAAGGACAUGCAAAAUUGGCAGAUUUUGGAGUGGCUGGUCAGUUAACAGAUACAAUGGCAAAACGCAAUACUGUGAUAGGAACUCCAUUUUGGAUGGCUCCUGAGGUAAUUCAAGAAAUAGGCUAUAACUGUGUGGCUGACACCUGGUCGCUUGGCAUUACUUCUAUAGAAAUGGCUGAAGGCAAACCUCCUUAUGCUGAUAUACAUCCAAUGAGGGCUAUUUUUAUGAUU